CAGUAGCCGCGGGAAUACAGAGGGUGCGAGCGUUAAUCGGAUUUACUGGGCGUAAAGCGUGCGUAGGCGGCUAAUUGAGUCGGAUGUGAAAUCCCCGAGCUUAACUUAGGAAUUGCAUUCGAUACUGGGAAGCUAGAGUAUGGGAGAGGAUGGUAGAAUUCCAGGUGUAGCGGUGAAAUGCGUAGAGAUCUGGAGGAAUACCGAUGGCGAAGGCAGCCAUCUGGCCUAAUACUGACGCUGAGGUACGAAAGCAUGGGGAGCAAACAGGAUUAGAUACCCCCGUAGUCCCUGUCUCUUAUAC
rnacentral:rRNA from 1 species